rnacentral:rRNA from 1 species
AAUCAACGCUGGCGGCGUGCCUAACACAUGCAAGUCGAACGCGAAAGUGGAGCAAUCCAUGAGUAGAGUGGCAAACGGGUGAGUAACGCGUGGGUGACCUGCCUUCGAGUGGGGGAUAACGCUCCGAAAGGGACGCUAAUACCGCAUAACAUGCUGCCUUUUAACAGGCGGACAUCAAAGCUGGGGAUCGCAAGACCUAGCGCUGGAAGAGGGGCCCGCGCCGAUUAGCUAGUUGGUGAGGUAACGGCUCACCAAGGCAACGAUCGGUAUCCGGCCUGAGAGGGCGGACGGACACACUGGGACUGAGACACGGCCCAGACUCCUACGGGAGGCAGCAGUGGGGAAUUGUUCGCAAUGGGCGCAAGCCUGACGACGCAACGCGGCGUGGAGGAUGAAGAUCUUCGGGUCGUAAACUCCUUUCGAUCGAGACGAAUGG